GGAUAAGAAGGUAGUGAAAAAAUAAAUCAAGGUGGGAGAUCUAGUUAUCAAAAAGAGAAAAAACUGGGAGAACCUCGGGAAGUUACAAGAAACUUGGGAAGGGCCUUAUGUUGUCACUUGAAGCAAUAGGCCAGGAUCCUUUUAUCUUGCAAAUCAGCUUGGAGCAGAGUUGCCACACUCUUGGAAUGUGGACAACUUAUGCAAAUAUUAUCCAUAGUCGCUACACUUACAAAAGCUUUCGACUUGUGAAUCUAUAAACAAUGUCGAGGGCACAAAAUUUACUUUAUCGUAUUUACUUUUCUGCAAACAGACCAUACUCUUUUCCUUGCUAGGGAUGCUCCACACUGGAGGCAAGGUUUUUAAUGAGGAGGAUCCUUGUAAAUCCUUCACAUUCUA
rnacentral:lncRNA from 1 species